rnacentral:rRNA from 1 species
GACGAACGCUGGCGGCGUGCUUAACACAUGCAAGUCGAACGCUGAAGCUUGGUGCUUGCACUGGGUGGAUGAGUGGCGGACGGGUGAGUAAUACGUGAGUACCCUGCCCUUGACUCUGGGAUAAGCCUGGGAAACUGGGUCUAAUACUGGAUACGACAUGUCACCGCAUGGUGGUGUGUGGAAAGGGUUUUACUGGUUUUGGAUGGGCUCACGGCCUAUCAGCUUGUUGGUGGGGUAAUGGCUCACCAAGGCGACGACGGGUAGCCGGCCUGAGAGGGUGACAGGACACACUGGGAUUGAGAUACGGCCCAGACUCCUACGGUAGGCAGCAGAGGGGAAUAUUGCACAAUGGGCGGGAGCCUGAUGCGACGACGCCGCGUGGGGGAUGACGGGAUUCGGGUUGUAAACCUCUUUCAGCACGGAAGAAGCGAAAGUGACGGUACGUGAAGAAGAAGCGCCGGCUAACUACGUG